rnacentral:rRNA from 1 species
UAUAAAUGUAAAUUUAAAUAUUAAAGUAGUAUUAGUUAUGAUCUUGAAAUUUAAAAAAUUUGGCGGUAUUUUAGUCUAUUCAGAGGAACCUGUUCUAUAAUUGAUAGUCCACGAUUAAUUAUACUUUAUUUAUUUAGUUUAUAUAUCGUCGUUAUUAAAUAUUUUAUAAGAAUUAUAAUAUUUAAUAUUUUAAAUUAAAAUAUAUAUCAGAUCAAGGUGUAGUUUAUAAUAAAGAAGAAAUGGGUUACAAUAAAAUUAUUUAUUAAUGAAUUAAUUUAUGAAAAUAAUUAUGAAGGAGGAUUUGAUAGUAAUAUAAUUAAAUUAAAUUAUAUGAUUUUAGCUCUAAAAUAUGU